AAAUUGAAGAGUUUGAUCAUGGCUCAGAUUGAACGCUGGCGGCAGGCCUAACACAUGCAAGUCGAACGGUAACAGGAAGCAGCUUGCUGCUUUGCUGACGAGUGGCGGACGGGUGAGUAAUGUCUGGGAAACUGCCUGAUGGAGGGGGAUAACUACUGGAAACGGUGGCUAAUACCGCAUAACGUCGCAAGACCAAAGAGGGGGACCUUCGGGCCUCUUGCCAUCAG
rnacentral:rRNA from 2 species